UUUAGUAGACGUCAUACUUAGUGCAGUCUAAAAUCUAAAUUCCAAAUUAUUUAGAUCCUCAGUUUAAUACAAUUACUUUCAGAUAAUGUCAUUGCCCCACAGCGAGGACUGGCAGGGCUGCUACCGGCCCGAUCUUUGCUACUCCCUGCUGCGCCUGCUCAAAAUGACUCACAUCCCCCUACCCCACAACUGAUGCAAUGGAGGGUGAGGGUGAGGGUAUGGUGGCCGUAAUCCAAGGCCUGCGGGAUGCAGG